rnacentral:rRNA from 1 species
AGAUUGAACGCUGGCGGCAUGCUUUACACAUGCAAGUCGAGCGGCAGCGCGGGGGCAACCCUGGCGGCGAGCGGCGAACGGGUGAGUAAUGCAUCGGAACGUGUCCCGUAGUGGGGGAUAACGCCGGGAAACCGGCGCUAAUACCGCAUACGCUCUACGGAGGAAAGCAGGGGACUUCGCAAGAGGCCUUGUGCUAGGGGGAGCGGCCGAUGUCCGAUUAGCUAGUUGGUGGGGUAACGGCUCACCAAGGCGACGAUCGGUAGCUGGUCUGAGAGGAUGAUCAGCCACACUGGGACUGAGACACGGCCCAGACUCCUACGGGAGGCAGCAGUGGGGAAUUUUGGACAAGUGGGGGCAACCCUGAUCCAGCCAUGCCGCGUGCGGAAGAAGGCCUUCGGUGUAACCGCUUUAGCCGGACGAACGGCCUGGUUAAUACCCGGUUAUUGACGGUACCGGCGGAAGUAAGCGACCGGCUAACUACGUG